AUGGUACUCCCUCCGUUCCGAAUUACUUGUCGUAGGUAUGGAUGUAUCUAGAUGUAUUUUAGUUCUAAAUACAUCCAUUUCUACGACAAGUAAUUUGAAACGGAGGGGGUAUAAU
rfam:Triticum aestivum genome assembly, contig: Triticum_aestivum_CS42_TGACv1_scaffold_249991_3DL